rnacentral:rRNA from 1 species
CAGGGGGAGCAAGCGUUGUUCGGAUUUACUGGGCGUAAAGGGCGCGUAGGCGGCCACCGCAAGUCGACUGUGAAAUCUCCGGGCUUAACCCGGAACGGUCAGCCGAUACUGCGGGGCUAGAGUGCAGAAGGGGCAACUGGAAUUCUCGGUGUAGCGGUGAAAUGCGUAGAUAUCGAGAGGAACACCUGCGGCGAAGGCGGGUUGCUGGGCUGACACUGACGCUGAGGCGCGAAAGCUAGGGGAGCGAACGGGAUUAGAUACCCCGGUAGUCCUAGCCUUAAACGAUGAAUGCUUGGUGUCUGGGGUUUUAUAGUCCCCGGGUGCCGUCGCUAACGCUUUAAGCAUUCCGCCUGGGGAGUACGGUCGCAAGACUG